UGGACACAUGAUGCUCCCCAUAAGUAGAUGUUAUUGGUGACAAUUAUUUAGGUAUUCGAAGGUUCUGAUUCUACUUCAAAUGUACAGAUGCUUUGCUGAGGUUACCAUCAAGACUGACCCACAAAAUUUCAACUAUAUUGUUGAGUCUGGUGCUACCAAAAAUUUUGAACCUGUGUGAAUAGGAUGAGGCAGCAGAGACAAUAACCAUAAAAGAGAAGUUGGAGAGAUGGAAGAUGCAAUGAAAUCUUUAGAGAACAAAAACCUUGGAUUUGAAAAGAAAAAUGGACAUCAUUACUACAUUGGAUGGGAUGAAAUCUAUGAAGGUAUUAUUUGCUUUACCAAUUCUAUUUUUAUUUAUUAGGGUAGGCUAUCAUCUCACAGUGCCACAAAUGGAAUCUUUAAGUCUCAAGUAGCCUCUGUAAAUUUUAAGAUUACAUGAUGAUAGAUCAAAGUAGAAGGCCAUGAAGGUUGUCUCUGGCCUUUCAGGUAUAGUUUUUUAUUUUUUGUGAUGCUCUUCAAAGCAUAUACUUGGUUAUGUGAUGGCAAUGUUUCUUUUAAAUUUUCCUUCAAAUUCACUCACUUUCUUAAAGUAAUUUUUAUUUUCUUUAGCUUAUAAUAUCUGGGUCUUUAUUUUU